rnacentral:tRNA from 1 species
AAGAAAAUAGUUAAAUAAAUAACGUUGGUUUGUCAUUCCAAAAUCAGCGACUGUCGCUUUUUCUCG